GAUGAACGCUGGCGGCGUGCCUAAUACAUGCAAGUCGAGCGAACGGACGAGAAGCUUGCUUCUCUGAUGUUAGCGGCGGACGGGUGAGUAACACGUGGAUAACCUACCUAUAAGACUGGGAUAACUUCGGGAAACCGGAGCUAAUACCGGAUAAUAUUUUGAACCGCAUGGUUCAAAAGUGAAAGACGGCCUUGCUGUCACUUAUAGAUGGAUCCGCGCUGCAUUAGCUAGUUGGUAAGGUAACGGCUUACCAAGGCAACGAUGCAUAGCCGACCUGAGAGGGUGAUCGGCCACACUGGAACUGAGACACGGUCCAGACUCCUACGGGAGGCAGCAGUAGGGAAUCUUCCGCAAUGGGCGAAAGCCUGACGGAGCAACGCCGCGUGAGUGAUGAAGGUCUUCGGAUCGUAAAACUCUGUUAUUAGGGAAGAACAUAUGUGUAAGUAACUGUGCACAUCUUGACGGUACCUAAUCAGAAAGCCACGGCUAACUACGCG
rnacentral:rRNA from 1 species